rnacentral:rRNA from 1 species
ACGUAGGGUGCGAGCGUUAAUCGGAAUUACUGGGCGUAAAGCGUGCGCAGGCGGUUCGCUAAGACAGGUGUGAAAUCCCCGGGCUUAACCUGGGAAUGGCGCUUGAGACUGGGGGGCUGGAGUACGGCAGAGGGGGGUGGAAUUCCACGUGUAGCGGUGAAAUGCGUAGAGAUGUGGAGGAACACCAGUGGCGAAGGCAGCCCCUUGGGCCGAUACUGACGCUCAGGCGCGAAAGCGUGGGGAGCAAACAG